UGGAAACUUUCUGACUGCCAAAAAUU
rnacentral:piRNA from 1 species